rnacentral:rRNA from 1 species
GAUGAACGCUGGCGGCGUGCCUAAUACAUGCAAGUCGAGCGAACGGACGAGAAGCUUGCUUCUCUGAUGUUAGCGGCGGACGGGUGAGUAACACGUGGAUAACCUACCUAUAAGACUGGGAUAACUUCGGGAAACCGGAGCUAAUACCGGAUAAUAUUUUGAACCGCAUGGUUCAAAAGUGAAAGACGGUCUUGCUGUCACUUAUAGAUGGAUCCGCGCUGCAUUAGCUAGUUGGUAAGGUAACGGCUUACCAAGGCAACGAUGCAUAGCCGACCUGAGAGAGGGGUCGGCCACACUGGAACUGAGACACGGUCCAGACUCCUACGGGAGGCAGCAGUAGGGAAUCUUCCGCAAUGGGCGAAAGCCUGACGGAGCAACGCCGCGUGAGUGAUGAAGGUCUUCGGAUCGUAAAACUCUGUUAUUAGGGAAGAACAUAUGUGUAAGUAACUGUGCACAUCUUGACGGUACCUAAUCAGAAAGCCACGGCUAACUACGUG